CCUGAAAGGAUGAAUAGUCUUAUGUGUUAAAAAAGCAGAUUUGUCUUUUUACACAACCACAUUUCAACGUAUUUUGCCUUGAAAUUUUACACACAUAUGGAUUAUGAUUUCAUCUAUCUUUGUAUUUUUUCCAGAGUUUUUUGAAAUGUAAAACUAUAAAUUUUCAUAAAUUUUGAAUUUUGCUUUUGGAAGCCUUCAUGAAGGUCGGCCUCCAAAGGCAAUAUCCGCUACUCCAACGUAAGUAUUCUCUUCCGUUCAUAGGCGUUUCGCUUCUCGAUUUUGUCCGACAACCUCCUGAUGAGGAUAUCGAUACCAUUUGUUACACCUGCUAUACUUACUCGACCAGUUAUUGGAGCUCACACACGUCAAUUGAAUUAUCAGGAUCUAGCAUGGACAAGGAGGAUAAUCAUUGGAGCGGGAUCAAGCAUGAAGGGGAAAGUGCACAUGCGGGAAAGAACAAGGGAGCUUCUAGUGGUGAUUUUCGGACUUUGAAGCCACCAUAAAAAAAACAUGAAGGCUUGGACAAAAUAUACACGUCCAUAAGCUCCCUAGAAACCAUAAGUGUUGCGUCACCUUAUUUUUGGGUCAGGCCCAUGUAAUUUCAAAAUACUACCACAUAGGUUAUUUUUAGAGUCUGUAUGUGUGGGGAAACCGAGGUUAGGGUCGUUUUCGGACCUCUCCUCCAAAGGUCACGAGAAUCCCUCUGUAUUCCCUCAUAUA